rnacentral:rRNA from 1 species
UACGAGGGGGGCGAGCGUUGUUCGGAAUUAUUGGGCGUAAAGGGUGCGUAGGCGGCUUGGUAAGUCUGAUGUGAAAUCUAUGGGCUCAACUCAUAGUCUGCAUCGGAAACUGCCGGGCUUGAGUGUGGGAGAGGUGAGUGGAAUUCCUGGUGUAGCGGUGAAAUGCGUAGAUAUCAGGAGGAACACCUGUGGCGAAAGCGGCUCACUGGACCAUAACUGACGCUGAUGCACGAAAGCUAGGGGAGCAAACAGG